CUGCUUGGCGCUUGCCUAGCAGCCAGCGCUGUCGAAGAGGCUGAAGGUGAAAAUAGCGAUCAGUUCGUCGACGAUGGUGGAGAGGAGGUUCUGGGGGAUCAGCUGGAGGGCCAGGAGGUCGAAAAUGAUCUUUAUGACAAGCACGACAGAUAUUCUGAAGGCUUGGAUCGCCGUGGAUUGGGCGACUUGCCUGCUAUUGUUAUUGGUAAAAUUAGGCAGUUGGUA